AGCGAACGCUGGCGGCAGGCCUAACACAUGCAAGUCGAACGAACUCUUCGGAGUUAGUGGCGGACGGGUGAGUAACACGUGGGAACGUGCCUUUAGGUUCGGAAUAACUCAGGGAAACUUGUGCUAAUACCGAAUGUGCCCUUCGGGGAAAGAUUUAUCGCCUUUAGAGCGGCCCGCGUCUGAUUAGCUAGUUGGUGAGGUAAAGGCUCACCAAGGCGACGAUCAGUAGCUGGUCUGAGAGGAUGAUCAGCCACAUUGGGACUGAGACACGGCCCAAACUCCUACGGGAGGCAGCAGUGGGGAAUCUUGCGCAAUGGGCGAAAGCCUGACGCAGCCAUGCCGCGUGAAUGAUGAAGGUCUUAGGAUUGUAAAAUUCUUUCACCGGGGACGAUAAUGACGGUACCCGGAGAAGAAGCCCCGGCUAACCUCGUGCCAGCAGCCGCAGUAA
rnacentral:rRNA from 1 species